GACGAACGCUGGCGGCGUGCCUAAUACAUGCAAGUAGAACGAGUUGCGAACGGGUGAGUAACGCGUGGUAACCUGACUCAUAGCGGGGGAUAACUAUUGGAAACGGUAGCUAAUACCGCAUACCAUCAGAUGUGCCCAGAUGGGAUUAGCUUGUUGGUGGGGUAACGGCUCACCAAGGCGACGAUCCCUAGCUGGUCUGAGAGGAUGAACAGCCACACUGUAACUGAGUCAUGGUCCAGACUCCUACGGGAGGCAGCAGUGGGGAAUAUUGCACAAGGGGCGCAAGCCUGAUGCAGCCAUGCCGCGUGUAUGAAGAAGGCCUUCGGGUUGUAAAGUACUUUCAGCGGGGAGGCGUUACCCGCAGAAGAAGCACCGGCUAACUCCGUGCCAGCAGCUGCGGUAAUAC
rnacentral:rRNA from 1 species